AAUAAGGUGACAGAAUUUAUGUGAUAGGCUUAAGACUUAUUUAUGUGGGCUUGAAUCACCCUUAUUU
rnacentral:tRNA from 1 species